UUUCUAUCGAGUAUGUGUUCAGUUCAAUAUGUUGUACUUUUUUCUUCGUUAAAAUGUUGCAAGUUUUUUCUGCUCUUGUGUACGUAAUUUAUGGAAUUUAUGAAAUACCUAACAUUUAAAUGCGGAAAAAGUUGAGUAGUCAACUUCAUUCUAUGUACAAGUGAAAUUGAGAAUUUAACACUCUCGAUCGCGAUAAUAAUAUAACUAUAUUCCGAUUUCCUGAAAAACAGUGAUGGGUAGCCUAAUAAUGUGUAGUUACAGUUUUGUUUCAAUUUUUGCGUUUAUUUUGGCGUUUUACGUUUCUACUGGAAACGCUGAUACGCAGGUAAUUUGUUACGAGUGUAGAAGUCAUCAUGCGAGUCCAAACCCGGACUGUAUAAAUGUGAAUUCAAGAACCGGUACAACUGCAGUAAAGGAAUACUUUCAGCGGCAAGCAUGCAUAUACGUGAGAAUGCCCAUAGAAGGCGGAUAUGAUAUAGUACGACACGCCAUCCUGUAUAAAGAUUAUGACACCUAUUGUGAAGAACCGACGAUUCCAGCACGAUCAGAAUGCAGAGUUUGUAAUGAUAAUUUAUGUAAUUCUUGGUCUGGUAGCCAGCCACUUCCAACAGCAUCAUCACCAAAGGCGAAAGAAUUCACAUGGGAUGGCAUUCACUACCUCUGUUAUCCAAGGGUGUAAACCUCAACUACAGAUAACCGAAAACAGUAACAAAACGAACAACCACCAUACCAUGAUUCUCAUCAGCUCCAACCAUGUGAUCACCUACUUACAAUCACAUCUCUACCUGCAGAGAUGGAACAAAUCAAAAUCUGGAUUAAGGGUAAUUCGUUACCUCUGUUAUCAUCAGUAACGAUUUUUAAUGAAAACUGUGAACUUUGGACAGGGAUUUUGCAAAAACUAACUAUUGGAUGGAUUUUCGUGGAGUUUGGUUCAUUCUAUUCAUUUUAAGUACCUACAAAUAAAAAUUGAAAAAUUAUAA